AUGGACGGCGGCGGCGGCGGCGGCGGAGUGGGGAGGAGCAGGAAGGCGGCGGAGGGGGAGCUGGAGAGGCUGAGGGCGGAGAGGGACGAGCUAGACAUCCGCAUACGGCUGCUGGAGUCGGAGCUCCAGACCGGCUCCGCCGCCCCUGCCUCGCCCGCGUGCGGCGACGCGUGCCAGGCCCUCCGUGGAUUCGCGCAGGACGACGCCCUCCCGGCCGACAUGAUCUACCGGUACAGCCGCCACCUCCUCCUUCCCGACUUCGGAGUCCAAGGCCAGCGGAAGCUCUCCCGCUCUUCGAUUUUGGUGGUCGGCGCCGGAGGAUUGGGCUCGCCCGUAGCGCUGUAUCUAGCAGCUUGUGGUGUUGGGGUCUUGGGCAUUGUUGAUGGUGAUGAUGUUGAGCUUAACAACCUCCAUCGACAGAUAAUCCACCAAGAAGCAUAUAUUGGAAGAUCAAAAGUGAAGUCAGCAGCUGACGCUUGCCGUGCGAUUAAUUCAUCUAUUCAGGUGGUAGAGCAUCAUCAUACUUUGAAACCAAGCAAUGCCUUGAAGGUUGUGACAAAAUAUGACAUAGUUGUUGAUGCAACAGAUAACCUUCCUACUCGGUACAUGAUCAGUGAUUGUUGUGUAUUGCUAAACAAGCCUCUUAUAUCUGGUGCAGCAUUAGGUUUAGAAGGACAGCUGACUGUUUAUCAUCAUAAUGGAAGUCCAUGCUACCGGUGUCUUUUUCCAAAUCCACCACCAGUGGCAGCUUGCCAGAGAUGCUCGGACAGCGGUGUUCUUGGGGUUGUUCCGGGAGUAAUUGGCUGCAUGCAAGCUCUAGAGGCUAUAAAGGUUGCAACUGGUGUUGGUGAACCUCUAUCUGGAAGAAUGCUACUCUUUGACGCAUUAUCUGCUCGUAUUAGAAUCGUUAAGAUUCGAGGAAGCUCGCCUGUUUGCAGCAUAUGCGCUGAAAAUUCUGUUUUCACGCAAGAAGAUUUUCAGAAGUUUGAUUAUGAGAGCUUCACACAAUCCCCGAUGUCUGACAAGGUAAGUUUUCCUUCCUGUAUUGAGAUUCUGGCUUGAUUUUACUUCCUCUGUUGCCAAAACAUCUUAUAUUUAGGAACAGAGGGAGUAAUAGUUAAGCGGGCCUCAGAACAUUGACUUCAUAAUUUGUCUUUACUGUGAUCGGUAUUUUUUGUAAAUAAAGGGAGUUGUAAACCAACAGGGCUUCCGUACUAGGCAAUUUUCGCUAAUUUGUAGUCCCAUACACAGAUGUGGAGUGAUAGUCCAACACAGAUGUGCGCUGAAAGCAUUUUAUGAGCAUCCUCUAGUACCUCGACAAACUGAGUUGGAAUAUGAGUUUGUGAGAUGCCAUAAGGCAUUCUAUGUCCAGUUUAUUUCCUUUUCUUUUUGCGGCGGAACCUCCGACCCAGUUUAGAUUAAGCUAGCUGAGUUAUGUUUGAGUUCAGAGAGUGAUAGAAGUGAAUUUGAAUAGUGUAGGUCCUUACAUGAAUGCUAAUUCUUCAGUGUUUCUCUAAUACCAAAUAAAAUCUUUCAAGCCUAGUUUUUCCACUACUAAAUCACUUUGUCAGAUUAAGAAGUUAUGAUAUUUCACCUUUGA